rnacentral:pre_miRNA from 1 species
AGGAGGAACAACCCCAGUGGCGGGGCCAGCUCUGGAGCCCUGGAUUCAGCCCCCGCAGGAACUCCGGAGCUCUCGGUCUGCAGGGCCUGGAGGCUCCGGGGCGGG